rnacentral:rRNA from 1 species
AAGCGGCGGAGCAUGCGGAUUAAUUCGAUGCAACGCGAAGAACCUUACCAAGGCUUGACAUAUAGAGGAAACGUCUGGAAACAGUCGCCCCGCAAGGUCUCUAUACAGGUGGUGCAUGGUUGUCGUCAGCUCGUGUCGUGAGAUGUUGGGUUAAGUCCCGCAACGAGCGCAACCCUCGUUCUAUGUUGCCAGCACGUAAUGGUGGGAACUCAUGGGAUACUGCCGGGGUCAACUCGGAGGAAGGUGGGGAUGACGUCAAAUCAUCAUGCCCCUUAUGUCUUGGGCUUCACGCAUGCUACAAUGGCCGGUACAAAGGGCUGCAAUACCGUAAGGUGGAGCGAAUCCCAAAAAGCCGGUCCCAGUUCGGAUUGAGGUCUGCAACUCGACCUCAUGAAGUCGGAGUCGCUAGUAAUCGCAGAUCAGCAACGCUGCGGUGAAUACGUUCCCGGGUCUU